CCUACGGGAGGCAGCAGUGAGGAAUAUUGGUCAAUGGACGAGAGUCUGAACCAGCCAAGUAGCGUGAAGGAUGACUGCCCUAUUGGUUGUAAACUUCUUUUAUAUGGGAAUAAAACGUUCCACGUGUGGAUUUUUGUCUGUACCAUAUGAAUAAGGCUCGGCUAACUCCGUGCCAGCAGCCGCGGUAAUACGGAGGAUCCGAGCGUUAUCCGGAUUUAUUGGGUUUAAAGGGAGCGUAGUUGGAUGGGUAAGUCAGUUGUGAAAGUUUGCGGCUCAACCGUAAAAUUGCAGUUGAAACUGGAAGUCUUGAGUACAGGAGAGGUAGGUGGAAUUCGUGGUGUAGCGGUGAAAUGCUUAGAUAUCACGAAGAACUCCGAUUGCGAAGGCAGCUCACUGGACUGCAACUGACAUUGAGGCUCGAAAGUGUGGGUAUCAAACAGGAUUAGAUACCCGAGUAGUC
rnacentral:rRNA from 1 species